GACCAGCAGGGUGACUAAUAGACUGCUGAUCGAGUUCGCCUCAGGAACUGUGGUUAAAAUGGAGCAAGCGCAGUUGCUGUUGAACUAUGUGCUGGAAAGACUCCACUCCCACUUGGAGCAUGCAGUUGGGUGUUUGCCCCUUGACCUCUUGUCUCUAGUCCCAGAGCAUUGAUGCACAUCGACACCAAUCAUAAAUUGAUUUGUUACAAUAUAAUCAUCUUCGGAGGUGUAGAUGGCUUUUCACGCAAGAUAAUGUACCUGGGUGCUCCUUCUAAUAACCUUGCUUCAACUACCCUGGAUUUUUUUCAAGAAUCUGUGGAAACAUUCGGCUUCCCAUUUAAGUACGCUUAUUAUGGUAUGAAUAAGGUUUUAUGCUUAAAACAUUUUAAUACAUAGACAUACUUUUAAAACUUCAAUUAAAAAAUUACCACCCGAGUCUUUAAUAACAAGCUUAAAUUUCCACACUGGACUGUGAGCUUCAAAACUGUUCUAUGCAUGAACAUUUUUUUUUUUAUAUUGUAGGGUACGAGGUGACCAGGGUAGUGAAAAUGUGGAUGUAGCUGAUGUUUACAGUUCGUGGGACAGGAAGGGGCAGCUUUAUUUCAGGGAAGAGCGUCCAUAAUCAGCAACAGGAUUCACCUCUUCUGUUGCCACUAUGUGUUUCUUCCACGGCUUCAAAAUGAUCUGAAUCUUUUUCGAAACACCUGGGACAAUCACCCAAUCCGCACAGAGGGCAACAUGACCCCAAACCAGUUAUGGACAAUUGGAAGUAUCCAUCAUCCUGUACUUGAACCUGACAUAGAGGGGUUGAACAUUAACUGGAAAAGUAGUGGCCUGAGUCUUGAUGUACACUCCAGUUUCGUCUUUCCUACAAUUGAGUCUCCCUUGCGUGAUGAACAAAUGGCAGCACUACAAGAAACUGUAGACCCCAGAGCACCUUCACAGACCUUUGGUUGGGACAUUUAUUUAGCUGCGCUUCAGUUUUGCCAGUCAGUUCUCAUACAGUAAUUUUUUAUUUUUUUUUGGUCUUUACUUAGUUUUGUAUUAUGUCUCACUUCAUUUAUGAAACUUGUCUUUUUACCAAUUUCCAUCAGUCAGUAGUGCUUGACCAGGCAAUAGUUUAAGAUUGGUCUUUUUGAAAAAAAUAAUACAAUGUUUUAUUUGAACUUUGCACAUCCAGUGAGUACAUUUUUUACUGUAAUAUAAACUGUACCUUAUAGUGCUUUCUUUUUGACAACAUAUGACGAUUCAGCUUCACUGUAGUGUUCCUUAGUAACAGUAUGUAUAAUCAGGUCAAUACAAUAAUAUUAGUUUGUAAAAUGUUUAAGGAAUGAUAUAGUAACUUGCCAUACAAUAGUACAAUAACAGCAACUCUAGUAGUACCACAAAUACUAACAAUAACUUACAGCACUGUAGUGCAACAGCACCACACAGUGCCAUCAGUGCAAACUUAACAUGUACCAUACAGUCAAGCAUUUAAUCUGAACAUUGA